AGAAGACUUAACCAAUGUGAAAAAGUUUAGAAUUAUUUUCUGUUGUCACAGUCAACUGUGUCAAAACAACAAAUAUGUUUACAUAUGUUAUUGCAUCAUAGCCGUCGUCCUUUGCAGGUCAAUAUUGUACAUAACCUUUGAUUUUUUUUUGUAUUGUACAGACAGAUCAUUUGAGCUGAUUUAUUUUCUUGGUGUACUACAAUCCAUUACAAAAAUCUAACCUUUUUUUGAUGUUGAGAAAGUGAUUAUUGGAGAAAGACUGGAGAAAGCGAUGCUGUACUUGCAUUUUGUUUGUAAGGAGAGGAGGAAAAUGUUGAUAAGUUAGAAAAUCUAGUAUUUUUGGAUGGUGUUUCUAAAACGCAUGAAUAUUUGACCAAUGGGAGGAAUCAAUCGAUAUUGUACUAGGGCCUCCUGAUUUUGGAUUACGUUGAUAGUUUAUUUGUUUUUGUUUUUUUUACAUAAAAACAGUGAAGAGAAACCUGAUAAUAAAGAAAGAAUCUGGUGGAUUUUUGAGACCCAGUACUGGCACCUUACUAAGAUACAGGAUUAUGUUUUUUUUUACUGUGAUGUCUAUGUUCCUUCCUUUCGGUUUUUGCUGUUCUUUUAUGUUUAUGUUUCUCCUCUUAUUGUGCAGUUUUCAUUUGAAGUCCUAUCAUUUUUAUGACAGUUUGGGCUGGCAGUACAUUUUUUGUAUUUAUUUAUUACUUAAUAUAUUUGAUUGUGUCUUGUUCAGUUCGCAUUCUAAGCAAAUCUCAAGUUGUUGUGCACAUUCAUUUUGAUUUUGUGUUGUUAUUACUGCUUUUCAACCCAUUAAUAAAUCCCAGCAAUAAAAUGUUCUUCCCCAAGUUUUCAAUGGUAGAUUAUGGUUAGCUGUCUGUCAUGUGGUGUGGGUGUGAAUGUAAAAAAAGAGCAUAGACAUGAAUGGAAGGGGAAAAGAAAGAGAAAGAAAAAUAAAUAUGGUUGACAUGGAGAGGGUUUAUGAGCUUUUAGAAGUACAUUCAUCAGUAACAGAGCACAGAGACAGGAUUCGGUUUCUCAACCUGUGUCCAUUACCUAAAUCAUCUUAUUCCAAAAUGGAUGAAUGAUUUUUUUCCAUUAAAAGUAGGGCAGAGGCGAUACCAGUAUCGCGAUACUCGUUAGUAUCGUGGCAAGGAAACAAAACACG
rnacentral:lncRNA from 1 species